rnacentral:lncRNA from 1 species
AUUUUCGGCCAGCCCUAGAAGCUCCAAAGGGAAGAAGAAAACUUCAUCUUCUAGCUCCAAGUUUGCUUGCUUUUCAUCAUCCAACUCACAAACCACUUGGAAUUUCACUCUAGCUUGAAGAAAGGCGCCUUCUUGUGGAGUUUCUUGGAGAAAUUUUGGUGAAAAAAUUUGGUCUUCAUCUAGUGGUUAAAGGGUAAGCACUUCAUCUCUUUAACCUUUCAAUUCAUACAAAGAUUGAUGGUUAGUUUGCAUGGGUUUGAAACCCUAAGCAAGAUUCUAGGCUAGUGGACUUGAGGAAACUUUUAUCUUGCUUUAAAUCCUAAGCUAGCAGUCUUGAGGUGGCCUAUGAGGUAGCUGACUUGAGGAUAUUGCUUGAUUGUUGUUGUUUAUGUGAAUUAUAGCUUGAUUUUGGUUUGAUAGUGGAGAGAAAGUGGAAGAAACCAUGAGGAAGAGAGCUGACCGAAAUUCUGUUUUGAUGUCCUGCUUUAAAUUUGAAAUUUUGAUGAUUAUAUGGCUACUAAAUUGAUUGAUAUAUGUUGUAUUAUGUGUGUAGAAUGUGCCUUUCGAAAAUCAUUUCAAAUGGUUACCUAAAACUUGAGUUUUGGAAAAGUUCGGAAUCUGGAAAUUUGCUAGCAGGGUAGCCAACCAGUGGUUCUUUGUCUGAACAUAACUUUUUGUACAAAAGUCAAAAUUGAGUACCGUUUACGGCAUUCAAAACUAGACAUUCAGAACUUUCAAACGGUAUAAGAAUCCCCUACUAGUUCAUUUUGAGUAAACCGUAGCGAAUUGGCAAAGUAGACUGUUCUGUUCUGUCUAUCUGUCCGAGAGAAACUGUGACGCUACAUCUUGUGGCUCGAUUUUGUCUCACUUGUGAAAAGAUUUUAAAAAUGAUGUCUUCUGAUAAAAUGUAGAAUUUUGAACUUUGUUUCUAACUCCAUAAACCAUUCUCAAUUUGGGCUUGUGUAGAGUUAGAUAUGGUCUGAUUUCAAAACUAUAUCAAAGCUGAUAACUGAAAAAUUUUCCCUUCCCUGCUGACCGAAUGGUCAAUUCUGUUUUGGGGUGUUUUAUUUCAAAAAUUUUAGUGUCAUUUACCCAUAAAUUGCUCAUUAAAUGUUCUGGAACCUUGGUUUCAAACAUGGAGCUAAUUUGAGCUGAUUUCGUUGGACAAAACUUUCGAAAAAAAAGAAAGAUAGGGUUGGCAGAUUAGCUUUGAAGAAUUUCACAAACUUUGGUCGUUUCGUUAACUGCCUUCCCGUGUGAGUUUUUGCCUAAAUUUUGAUAGAGAGGUAGUCCACAUAUGGAAGUUCAAGUUUACCAAAUUUGGCAUAAUUUCAAUAUCAUUUCGAGGCCCAAAUAAUGCCCCAAAGAUUGCUCUUCAAAUCUGGAAAUCCACUGAUCAGAUUGAAAAAAUCAGCCGACUUCAAACUGUUGUAUCUUGUUGCUCAAAACUCCGAAUUUAGUUCCGCUUGUUGUGUUUGAAACUUGGUUUGGAACUCUUAUUGUGCUAUAAGUUGCAGAGGCUGAUUCACUUUCUGUGAAUUUUGUCGAAUUUCCAAACAUUGCUGAAAAACCAAGACUGGUUCUGUCCUGUCUUCUUGAAACUGCAACUUUGAACUGAAAUUUGAAUGCUUUCUGGUUGGAAUCUUGGAAAAGUGUCUUUAGGGAAGUUUUAGUACUUAGAAUCUAGUUUCCAACGGUAUAAAUUUUUCCAUUUCGAAUGCACCGAACUCAAGAUCUAAUUUUCCAAGUUUUGUCGCGCAAAGCUGAAAAUUUCGAUUUCGUAGGAAAUGAGCUUUUAAGAACUUUUCACUUUCUUUCGAUAUUGAUAAUCUGUUUUAAACCCGAUUUCAUGGAAGAUACAGGUUUCUCUUGUGACUUUAAACCCUCACUUUUAAAUCUCGAUUUUCGAUGGAUUGAAGUUCUUCGAAGACAUUGUCUUAAAUUUUAAGCGAGUGUACUUUCUUCCUUGAAUAAUAAGUGGUUGUGAGUAUAUGUGCGUGAUGGUUGAUCACUAUUUCUUCAGGCGCUCAAGAGGAUUUUGAAGGGAAUCUCAGAGCGGACCACUAAAGACUUUAUUACUCACUUGUUUUGAAUUAGUGAGUGUCAAGUGCAUGAAUUGUUGUGUUUACUUGAUUAAUCUUACUUGUAUACGUGAACAUAACUUGAUGAGGCUAGUGUGUACUUUAUCGCAUUCGCUCUCCUUUAUUUGACUUAUUACUUAACUUACUUGAACUUGGUUUGUAUUAAAUUUGAACUUGGAUGUCGAUUGGAGUGAAUCUCGUCGACUAUUAUACGUGUACUCGUGAGGGACGCCCAAAUCUCAUUGGCUAAUCUUGCGACUCGAGCUGGCAUGGGAUUGGUCGAGAAGUUUGAUGAACCAUGAGAAUAUUAUAAAAACAAAACUUGAUCUUUUGAGAUAUUGUUCGGCAUACUCGUGUAGUAUUGCCCUUUUCGUGCGUGUUUGGUUACGGAUUUGAAAGGGCGAAAUGAUGGAUGGGGGAAGUAAGUGGAGUUUCUACAGACUUAAUACCUACCCGGUUGACAGAAUAUCAUCAUGUGGAGGUAUUGGAUCGAGUUUUGGCGAAACAAGUGGAAUUUAGCUCCUGAGAGCUCCCGUAUCCUUACUAAUCGUGUUUUAUUAUUAAUUGUGAAUUACUUGAACUUUCUAGCUUUAAUUCUUGUACAAAUGUUAUUGUUACUUGAACUAUGUGUUUGCAUGUUUUUUUUCUUGGCGUCACUGAGCGUUCGCUCACCCCAUUAGUUUGUUUUCCUUAACAGAAGUUCGAAAUGGAAAGAUUUUGGAGAAGCCGACCUGAUUACUUUUGGUUAGAAUUUUGGAUGUAAUUGAUUAGUCGACUUCUAGUGGUUGUAUUUUUGGGGAAAGUUGAUGUACUUUUGGUAACUUAUGAUGUAAGAUUUGAAUAUUUUAUUAAGGAAGCGACUUUUCUUUAUAUU